GCGUUCUUGGUCCUCAUUAGUUACAGUUGUGAUCUUCGAACACAGGAAGAAGAAGGAAGAUGUGUAGAUGGUGACAUGCCAAAUGCUGCAUAAUGUUUCCAUACGUCAAUCUUCAGAAUGAGAUAAGGAAACUCACCUGUUGAGCAUGCUCAAUGAAAACCCCGCUGACUCACAGAAAGAUCUAUACUUGAUAGACAGUUCCAUCAAGAACCCAACGAGGAGACCACA